rnacentral:rRNA from 1 species
CCCUUAGAUGUUCUGGGCCGCACGCGCGCUACACUGACGAAUGCAACGAGCUUAUAACCUUGGCCGAAAGGUCUGGGUAAUCUCCAAAUUUCGUCGUGAUGGGGAUAGAUUAUUGCAAUUAUUAAUCUUCAACGAGGAAUGCCUAGUAAGCGCAAGUCAUCAGCUUGCGUUGAUUACGUCCCUGCCCUUUGUACACACCGCCCGUCGCUCCUACCGAUUGAAUGGUCCGGUGAAGCGCUCGGACCGCGGCCUCUUGACGGUUCGCUGUCGAUUGGCUGUGGGAAGUUCGUUAAACCUUAUCAUUUAGAGGAAGGAGAANUCGUAACA